GCACAUCCCACGUACUCAUUUGGACUCACUGGGAGAAGGGAUUAACUAGAAUUCUCAUUGGAAGAAUUGACAGGAAAGCUCCCUCCAAUUUCUCAAUUUCCACCCCGCCUGGUACCUGGUUUUAUGAUUCCACACCCUCCUGAUCCAUCCUGCCGUCCUAAUACAUCCCACUCUCUUAAGCCAUCCUACUCUUGUGCUCACAAAUCCCUCCCCCUUCUUCAAUCUGCCAAGCCCCUUCCUCCUCUCCAGAAGCAUGUGGAUUUUUCAGUUUUCUGCCCUAACUGUUAUCCCACUGUGGCUCAUACCUGCCCUCCCCACUACCCUACCCUAAUACUCUACCUGCCCUGCUCUUCUGCUAUUCGUUACAAACCAUCCAUUUGUCAUUGCUCUGGUCCCAGAUCUCUUUCUGGAAACUCCCCUAUCCAUCACCCUAGCCCUCCUCCUAGCCCUACUGGUCAACUUUGGGGUCCCAGAACUCUUCCUUGUGAUUCCCCAAUCUGUUCCCCUAUUCCUCCUCCUAGCCCUCCUUGCCAACACUCUGGUCCCAGAACUCUUUUCUGUGACUCCCCUAUCUGUCCCCCUACUCCUCCUCCUAGCCCUGCUUGCAAACACUGUCGUCCCAGAGCUGUUUCCUGGGAUGCCUCUACCUAUGACUCUACUCCUCCUCCUUAGCCCUACUUCUUUCUAGUCCCCAGCCCCAGCCCCGCCAUCUCCACCAGACCUGACAGUUCACAAAUCUCAUCUUGGAGAUGGUUUCCCUGCUCCUGGGGCAGUUCUGGUACAGUUCAGGAUGGCCAGGACUGUGGGUUCUCAGCAGCCUGGCCUGGUGGACAAAGGAAAUGCAAGAUGGUGGCAAACCAGCAUUCAGCCUCAUCUGCUCCUUUCCUCCCCUGCCUGAUCAGCCAGCCUGCAUGAGCCUCUGUAUUUGUUUCUGGCUUCUCCAUGGAACUCAGCCUACAGCCACAAAGCAAACCACGGGGCCAGUGACAGAGAAGGCAGAGGGGAGUGAGGAGUGGGAAACACCUAACCUGUUCUCAAGGAAGAUUCUCCAUCAGACAACAUCAAGAAUCUCAAUCAAAAUCCCACUAUAUUUUUGAGAACUUGACAAUUGAAAUUUAUAUGGAAAUGCAAAAAGCCAAGGGAAUGACUGGCCAAGAUGAGAUUCAAUCGUAUGUCCACUACCUCCUGGCCUGCCACCUGGCUGUGAGUCCUUUGUGGGUGGUGUCCAGAGGCGGUUCCAGUGACCAGGCAGGUGCUGAGAAGCACAGGCAGGAGACAGCGUGUGAUGCCACUGCCUAGAGUCGGCAGAAGACCCAGGAGCAGGCAGGCAGCACAAGGGCACCCAGAGUGCUCCUGAUCAGACAGAGCAGCAUGGAGGCUGCAGUGGGACACCCGAGGGAAAAGGUGACCCCAGAUGAGGUUCAGCAGAACCAGAUACUGUGGGAACUCCCUAACCAGACCAAGCAGCAUGGAGGCCACGGUGAGACUCCUGAGGGAGAAGGCAAACCCAGAUAAGGCUCAUCAGGACCAGAUCUUGUGGGAACUGGAGAGAACAAUCCCAGAUGACGUCCAUUGGGACCAGAUCUUGUGGGAAACACAGAGAACAAUCCCAGAUGACGUCCAUCGGAACCAGAUCUUGUGGGAACUGGAGAGAACAAUCCCAGAUGAUGUCCAUCAGGACCAGAUCUUGUGGGAACCGCACUUCAAAGUGCUGCCAACCCACAAACACUGCAUGCAGCAUCACAUGGAUGCCCUCUGCAAGGGGGAGGGGAUGCUUGCAGGAUGGAGGAAAUACCAGAGUGGCAUGUGGGGCUCAUUAAAGGAGAAGUUACCCUCUCACACCCUACCUCCUUCUAUAGACUUUAGGAGUGAUGUCUUUGGAAGGGGCUCGCCUACAUCACAUCAGAUGUAUUAAAUAUAUUAAAACACAUCCACGCCUCAUGGAA